GCCUCCUUAGGCUAUCCACGACAUCUUAGCGAGAAAGACAAACGAUGACACCUGUCAAAACCUCAGUGGAUUGUGCCUCUCAAACGUCCAGCAUUCUUUCGCCGUCCGCUUGCGUCAAAUAUACUCGCGUAACGAUUUUCGUAUUCAUUGAGACAUUAUCAUUAAGAUUCAUCCUUAACUCUCUCAUUAAAGCUCCCACAGCUUCGAUUUAAGUUACCCUUUCCCAAUUUCCAUCACUAAUCCCUAAUUAUUAAAUAGCGAUGCAGAAUCUCACUCUUCACCAGUUUUAAUCCUUCUGCUUCAUUACAUAGAUGGUAGUAACGUGUCUCUGCGUUUCUGGGAAGUAUGUAACAGUGAAGAAAGCAGGGGAACUGAUGAGAGUUGACAUGCUUCCGUUUGAUGAUAAGGUUUUGCUAAUUUUUUUUACUGUUUACGAUCCCUGUCUGCCUGCUAAUGUAUGUUUUCCUUUUUCUUCUAAACGAAGUUGUUCUAUAGUUUUUUUCUUUUUUUUGCUAAUUUGUUCUUCCUAUAGUUGUAAGCUUCGAUAACAACAACAAUGGCUAAUUCCUACACGGUUCUUACUGACUUGAAGGCUGGUUGUUGUUCAAACAGCGCUGAGGUCCGCCUUCUCAGAUUCUGGAGGCUCCGAAUGUCAAGAUAGGGGGAGAACCUGAAAAUACUUCUGCUUCGUUUUAAUUAUCGGACUAAGCUCAUGCACUGUUUCUCUGACAGUCAACUCCAUUUUGAAGCCUUCUUGGAAGAUUGGGAGCCAACAAAAGACUCAAUUUUGGUGGUAAGAGCUCUUGGUAUGAGUCUGUUAAAGAUUCUAUUGGCUGAAACCGAGUUCCAUGGCAUAAGGUGUGUCGAUGUGGGAAAUUGGGAAUGACUGGCUCAGUGUUUGAUGAAGGAGAAGAGAAAAGGUUUUCAGAUUAUCUUGGAAAACAAAUCCUUUUGGUUCAGUUUAAUAAAGGUUUUGCUUCAAAAUUCUUUUCAUUUGCAACAGAUGAAUGCACACAGUUAAUUAAGUUUUUUUUCUGAGAAAACUAUGAUACAGAAACUGUAACCAUACCUUCACAUAUCCUGCGUAUGAAGCAGAGUACUCCACAACAUUUGCAGAAAGAGUUUCGGGAAUCCUUGGUAGAGAAUCUUUUAAGAGAGUUGACAGUGUGAUUAAUGUUUCUGCUGUAAAUUUGGAUUUGUGAGUGUAAUUUCUUAACGUCAAACUGGAAAGUAAAUUAUAUGGUUAACUGAAGAGAUGAGAACUGA